rnacentral:lncRNA from 1 species
GCCCUACGUCUCCGCAAACCCCACGCUUCGGGGUGACCGCCUCAGACAGGACCCUGAGUCCGAGACUGGGGUAGGGGACCUGCCCGAUCCUGUAACAACCCUCGUGCUUCUGCACAAUCGCCUCCCACUAGCGGGGUCAGCAGAUUAUGAUCCAGAGGCCAAGCCCAGCCUGUCUGCUUUUGUGUAUAAAGUUCUCAUGGAACAGAGCUGUGAGCCUGCCGUGUGUGGUCUACGGCUGCCCCUGGACACAGCUGCAGAGCUGAUUCCCGCACAGACCUCGGGGCCCACAGAGGGAGGCGCUUUCCCUCCAUCAUCCCCACUGAGCACCAGCCGCCACAGCCGCUAAAACCUGCGGAACUCACUCCAUGCCCCUUGUUGGCUUUCUUCACAUAAAGUGGAUAAAACUGGGUGUUUACAGCCUAAAGCAGCCCAUGCCAAGGCACUCCUCAGGGACUGAGCCUUAGUCACAGUCCUUGUGACUACAGCACGUCCAUAGAUGGGAGCUGGCCGAGGGAUCCGUGUGCCUCCAGCUUCUCGGAGCUGGAAAGAAUCCAUACUGGAAAAAUGUUCCUUCAGUGCUCCUCCUUCUGGGAAAAAAAGACGGGGAGCUACAUCAACCUUAAGGGUUCAUGUUGCUUGAAUGUAAGCAUAAUAAAUAUUCAGCAUGUCUCCUAAGGCCUGGAGUAUCAUCAGGGACCAAGCUGGGAAAACCACAAAGAAUGACGCCCAGUUUCUAAGAGUCAUUCCAUGCUUUACAGUCAGCCCACAACCACCGAGUCCCAGGAAGCCCAGCCGAGACCGCGGCAGGUCCUGACGCAGCAUCAGCCUGAGUCUGAGCCCAGAGGAAGCUUCUGCUGCCACAAUUGCUGCGUGUGCUCAUGGCUUGGGUGCAGGCCCAACCACAGCGGACCAAGGGCAGGCUGAGAUUUGGCCUGGACUGGAGGGCUGUCUCAAGGAGGUAUCUUAAAUAGUGAAGAUGGAGAAAUAUUCAAUAAUGAAGAGCAUGAAUAUGCAUCCAAAAAAAGGAAAAAGGACCAUUUUAGAAAUGACACAAAUACUCAAAAGGCAUGGCUAUUGCACCUUGGGAGAAGCCUUUAAUCGGUUAGACUUCUCAAGUGCAAUUCAAGAUACCCGAAGGUUCAAUUAUGUGGUCAAAAUGAUGAUUAUUCCCCACCUUCUAAGAGACAAAGACCAACGAGCCACCACAGCCACCAGUCCCAGAACCCGCCAAUGCUGGGGAACGGAAAAUGAGGGAGUUCAACUCUGGCCCUCACAAUCCAGUGGAGGAGACGAAACUCAUCUGCCUCUGUCCCUCUGGGCACGCCUCAUGCCAGGUGCAUCUGUGGACAGGGGCCAUGCUCCUGGGCUUCCAAAGUUGGAGAAAGCUGCCAGGCUCAGGUGGGUACAUCACAGCAGCUGCUGCCCUCUGAACACAGUGACAAAAGAACACUGUGGGCCUGGAGCCCUGGUCUGGGGCAUUGCGCAAGGCUGUUGCACUUCUCUGAUCCCAUUUCCCCAUCUGGAAAGUGCGCUGAUUGUAUCUCCCUGUGGGCACUGA